rnacentral:tRNA from 1 species
UCCCUGGUGGCUCAGACAGUAAAGAAUCUGCCUGCAAUGCAGGAGACCCAGGUUCGAUCCCUGGAUCGGGAA